rnacentral:tRNA from 6 species
GGAGAGGUGGCCGAGCGGCUGAAGGCGCUCCCCUGCUAAGGGAGUAUACGGGAGACCGUAUCGUGGGUUCGAAUCCCAUCCUCUCCGCCA